AAGGAAUGGAGGCAAGUCCAAAGUCAUGUGCUCUUCAGCCUGGAGCUCCAAGAAAGGUUGAAGCAGAAGCUAACAUAUGGCAUCCUGUCAAGUGGAAGAAUGUUGACUCUGGUCUGGCAGAAGCAUGUGGGAGUGACAGCAAAAAUCUAAGGUCAACUCCAUUUAUAGAUAAAAGACCAAGCCUGCAUCCCAGUGGAGUUAGAGAAGAGGCUCCAGGUCUGUGCCCAGAAGAGUGCCUUGUCUUCAAGGGGAACACUGGAGGCAGCAGGCCACUUGGCUUAUCUUAUGGGGAGGAAGAGAAUUGCCCUCACCUAAGUGGUUCUCAGCCUGCUGCUGCUGUUCACGACUGCCGCUCUCAUUCCUCUACUCUGCCAUGUUAUAGAGAUGGUGUCCUUAGGAAGGGAACCCUCUGGGCUGCUCCACAUCCUGACCACUCACUUUUUAUAGUACCAUCUAGGGUCUGUGAAGUGGAUGGAGCAGGAGAGAGCUUUUCCAAAGACUCUCAAGUGUCUUUAGCACAUGGCCUCAAACAUAAAUGUGGGCCAGUAGACAACAGCAUUCCCAACCCAUCCACUAUAGCUCUUGUCUCCUCUCCAGCUCAAAACUGCAGCUGCCUUUGCACCUCAGAAAUGAAGGCAAAUUGCCUCACCCACACUGUUGCUAGGGGAAGAUCAGUGGACGGUUCUGGGGAAAAGACAACAGGGAAGAAGGCCAGCACUGCCCCUGAGGAUUCUUAUCCAUCCAGCCCUGCAG
rnacentral:lncRNA from 1 species